rnacentral:rRNA from 1 species
UACGGAGGGUGCAAGCGUUAUCCGGAUUUACUGGGUUUAAAGGGUGUGUAGGCGGGCUAUUAAGUUCAGUGGUGAAAUCUCCGGGCUCAACCCGGAAACUGCCAUUGAUACUAUUAGUCUUGAAUUUUGUUGAGGUAGGCGGAAUAAGUCAUGUAGCGGUGAAAAUGCAUAGAUAUGACUUAGAACACCAAUUGCGAAGGCAGCUUACUAAGCAAAUAUUGACGCUGAGGCACGAAAGCGUGGGGAUCAAACAGG